rnacentral:rRNA from 1 species
UACGGGGGGGGCAAGCGUUGUUCGGAAUUACUGGGCGUAAAGGGCUCGUAGGCGGCCAACUAAGUCAGACGUGAAAUCCCUCGGCUUAACCGGGGAACUGCAUCUGAUACUGGAUGGCUUGAGUUCGGGAGAGGGAUGUGGAAUUCCCGGUGUAGAGGUGAAAUUCGUAGAUAUCGGGAGGAACACCAGUGGCGAAGGCGGCGACCUGGGCCAAUAUUGACGCUGAGGUGCGAAAGCGUGGGGAGCAAACGGG